rnacentral:rRNA from 1 species
CUACGGGUCGCUCCAGUGAGGAAUAUUGCACAAUGGGGGGAACCCUGAUGCAGCAACGCCGCGUGGAGGAUGACGCAUUUCGGUGUGUAAACUCCUUUUAUCAGAGAAGAAAAUGACGGUAUCUGAUGAAUAAGCUCCGGCUAACUCCGUGCCAGCAGCCGCGGUAAUACGGAGGGAGCAAGCGUUAUUCGGAAUCACUGGGCGUAAAGGACGCGUAGGCGGGACAGUAAGUCAGGUGUGAAAUCCAAUGGCUCAACCAUUGAACUGCACUUGAAACUGCUGACCUAGAGUACUGAAGGGGCAGAUGGAAUUAGUGGUGUAGGGGUAAAAUCCGUAGAUAUCACUAGGAAUACCGAAAGCGAAGGCGAUCUGCUGGGAAGUUACUGACGCUGAGGCGUGAAAGCGUGGGGAGCAAACAGGAUUAGAUACCCUCGUAGUC